rnacentral:lncRNA from 1 species
UUACCAUUGAUGCGUCAUUCGAAUUGUUGUCAGAACGCCGUUCGUUCAGUUGCUUGUGGAAACCAUGGAUUUCAGAGCUGCGGUUGUCGCGCUGGUCUUGUUGUACAAACUUACUUGCAAGUUUCACCCCGAUAUCACGUCCUCUAAAACGCAUGCUGAUGUUCGGAAAUCAGGAUAUUUGAGCUCUUUGUGGAGAAACAUUAACAACGUCCUUCCCCCCACUUUUCUGGAGAAACCAGUUGUUCAGGAACCAGGGUUUUUCAGCUCUUUGCAGAGAAAAAUUGAUAACAUCCUUCCGAACUGUUUUCUAAAGAAAUCUCCAACAGACUACCGGCCCCCCUUCGUUUUAUGAAGAAUCCGGUCGUUCAGAACGAACCGAAAGGAGUUUGGUUCUUUGUGGAAAAAAAUUUCAGCACUUUGUGGAAAAAUAUUUCAGACGUCCUUUACACCUCUUUUCUGAAGGUAUUAUCACACAUCAUUCGAGAAACACAUU